rnacentral:rRNA from 1 species
UACGAAGGGGGCUAGCGUUGCUCGGAAUCACUGGGCGUAAAGCGCACGUAGGCGGAUUGUUAAGUCAGGGGUGAAAUCCUGGAGCUCAACUCCAGAACUGCCUUUGAUACUGGCGAUCUCGAGUCCGGGAGAGGUGAGUGGAACUGCGAGUGUAGAGGUGAAAUUCGUAGAUAUUCGCAAGAACACCAGUGGCGAAGGCGGCUCACUGGCCCGUAACUGACGCUGAGGCACGAAAGCGUGGGGAGCAAACAGG